UCCCAUAUGGUGUAGAGGUUAGCAUGUCGCCCUUUCAAGGCGGGGACCCGAGUUCGACCCUUGGAAUGGAAA
rnacentral:tRNA from 1 species